UUGAGGGGGGCUGCUCCUAGUACGAGAGGACCGGAGUGGACGCAUCACUGGUGUUCGGGUUGUCAUGCCAAUGGCACUGCCCGGUAGCUAAAUGCGGAAGAGAUAAGUGCUGAAAGCAUCUAAGCACGAAACUUGCCCCGAGAUGAGUUCUCCCUGAGACUUUAAGUCUCCUGAAGGAACGUUGAAGACGACGACGUUGAUAGGUCGGGUGUGUAAGCGCAGCGAUGCGUUGAGCUAACCGAUACUAAUGAACCGUGAGGCUUAACCUU
rnacentral:rRNA from 1 species